ACGCUCGACACCUACGGGAGGCAGCAGGUGGGGAAUAUUGCACAAUGGAGGAAACUCUGAUGCAGCGAUGCCGCGUGAGGGAAGAAGGUUUUCGGAUUGUAAACCUCUGUCUUUGGGGACGAUAAUGACGGUACCCAAGGAGGAAGCUCCGGCUAACUACGUGCCAGCAGGCCGGGUAAUCUGGAGGCCGGGCUGGCAAGGC
rnacentral:rRNA from 1 species